rnacentral:rRNA from 1 species
UACGUAGGGACCAAGCGUUGUUCGGAAUUACUGGGCGUAAAGGGCGCGUAGGCGGCCUUCUAAGUCAGACGUGAAAUCCCUCGGCUCAACCGGGGAACUGCGUCUGAGACUGGAGGGCUUGAAUCCGGGAGAGGGAUGUGGAAUUCCAGGUGUAGCGGUGAAAUGCGUAGAUAUCUGGAGGAACACCGGUGGCGAAGGCGGCAUCCUGGACCGGUAUUGACGCUGAGGCGCGAAAGCCAGGGGAGCAAACGGG